AGAGUUUGAUCAUGGCUCAGGAUGAACGCUAGCGGCAGGCUUAAUACAUGCAAGUCGAGGGGCAGNNNNNGUAGCAAUACCUGGCGGCGACCGGCAAACGGGUGCGGAACACGUACACAACCUUCCUUAAGGUGGGGGAUAGCCCAGAGAAAUUUGGAUUAAUACCCCAUAAUAUAUUUUGAUUGCAUAAUUGGAAUAUUAAAGAUUUAUUGCCUUGAGAUGGGUGUGCGUAUGAUUAGGUAGUUGGUUGAGGUAACGGCUCACCAAGCCUUCGAUCAUUAACUGGUGUGAGAGCACGACCAGUCACACGGGCACUGAGACACGGGCCCGACUCCUACGGGAGGCAGCAGUAAGGAAUAUUGGUCAAUGGACGCAAGUCUGAACCAGCCAUGCCGCGUGAAGGAUGACGGCCCUCUGGGUUGUAAACUUCUUUUAUCUGGGACGAAAAAGGGCCAUUCUUGGUCAACUGACGGUACCAGGGGAAUAAGCACCGGCUAACUCCGUGCCAGCAGCCGCGGUAAUACGGAGGGUGCAAGCGUUAUCCGGAUUCACUGGGUUUAAAGGGAGCGCAGGCGGGCUGGUAAGUCAGUGGUGAAAGCCUUGAGCUUAACUCGAGAACUGCCAUUGAUACUAUCAGUCUUGAAUAUUGUUGAGGUUUGCGGAAUAGGUCAUGUAGCGGUGAAAUGCAUAGAUAUGACCCGGAACACCUAUUGCGAAGGCAGCAGGCUAAACAAAGAUUGACGCUGAGGCUCGAAAGCGUGGGGAUCAAACAGGAUUAGAUACCCUAGUAGUCC
rnacentral:rRNA from 1 species